GGUCAUCUAUCGCUCACCGAUAAGACAGCCUGCAUUGUGGUUAGAGCGCUGGACUAGGACUUGGGAGACCAGGGUUCGAUUCCCUACUCAGCCA